GCAGACACAUUCCAGCCAAUCAGCAGCAGACCCUCCCUCCCAGACCCUCCCACCUCCUGGACAGCAUCCAUUUUGAAGCUGCAUUCUUAGUGAGCUGUCCAGGAGGUGGGAGGGUCUGGGAGGGAGGGUCUGCUGCUGAUUGGCUGGAAUAUGUCUG